AUUGAGGGUUUGUAUCAAUGAGGUGCAUUUGACCCACAGGAAUCUACAAAGAGAGAGUCUGUAGAGAAAUUAAUUGGGGAAUUGAUGCAAUACUAUUAUCAUGAAAACAGGUUGAAAUGUAAAGAAUGAGAGACAGAUGUUCUACAGCAACAGAAUUCUCCUUCCAAAAUGAGAUAGGACUCAUCACCAGAUUUCAGCAAACCCCUCUCUUGUAUACUUAUUGCCCUAAGAAAUGUGUAGUAUUCAGAAACCUACAUGCCCUGUUAUAGCAUUAUACUCCAUAAAGCCUGGAUCUCCAGCAGAUUUGAUGACUGAGCUGUGAGUGCUCCACAACAAGGCUCUUUUAUCACACAAGCAGGAGGCGGGUUUUGGGUGCAGGACCAAGUUUCCAAGAAAUAGUGAACAUGAUUUUUGGCAUUGAACUUGCUGAAGGAACAGAUUUGGUGGUACUUCUAUAUGUGAAUAUAUCUAUAUACAAGGGAGGGAGAGUUUCUAGUUUACACACACACAUAUAUAUAUAUAUAAAAUAAGAUUAUGUAAUAAAUAAGAUUUAUAUUUCCUACUCAUUCUGCUCAUUUCUGGU